rnacentral:rRNA from 1 species
UACACGAGCGGCGGACGGCUGAGUAACGCGUAGGAACGUACCCCAAAGUGAGGAAUAAGCACCAGAAAUGGUGUCUAAUGCCGCAUGUGGUCUUCGGAUUAAAGCUUUAUGCGCUUUGGGAACGGCCUGCGUCUGAUUAGUUUGUUGGUGAGGUAAUGGCUCACCAAGACUACGAUCGGUAGCUGGUCUGAGAGGAUGAUCAGCCAGACUGGAACUGAGACACGGUCCAGACUCCUACGGGAGGCAGCAGUAGGGAAUUUUCCACAAUGGGCGAAAGCCUGAUGGAGCAACGCCGCGUGCAGGAUGAAGGCCCUUGGGUUGUAAACUGCUUUUAUUGGUGAAGAUUAUGACGGUAACCAAUGAAUAAGGGUCGGCUAACUACGUGCCAGCAGCCGCGGUCAUACGUAGGACCCAAGCGUUAUCCGGAAUUACUGGGCGUAAAGAGUUGCGUAGGUGGCAGAGUAAGUAGAGAGUGAAAGCGUUCGGCUCAACCGGAUAUACAUUUUCUAAACUGCUCAGCUAGAGGACGAGAGAGGUAAAUGGAAUUCCCAGUGUAGGAGUGAAAUCCGUAGAUAUUGGGAGGAACACCGAUGGCGUAGGCAGUUUACUGGCUCGUUUCUGACACUAAGGCACGAAAGC